rnacentral:miRNA from 1 species
GACGCUGGGGUGGGCUGGGCUGGGCUGGGCUGGGGUGGGCUGGGGUGGGCUGCACGGUCC